rnacentral:rRNA from 1 species
UACGUAGGCAGCAAGCGUUGUUCGGAGUUACUGGGCGUAAAGGGUGUGUAGGCGGUUGCUUAAGUUGGUGUGAAAUCUCCCGGCUCAACCGGGAGGGUGCGCCGAAUACUGAGUGACUAGAGUGCGGGAGAGGAAAGUGGAAUUCCUGGUGUAGCGGUGAAAUGCGUAGAUAUCAGGAGGAACACCGGUGGUGUAGACGGCUUUCUGGACCGUAACUGACGCUGAGGCACGAAAGCGUGGGCAGCAAACAGG